GACGAACGCUGGCGGCGUGCUUAACACAUGCAAGUCGAGCGGAAAGGCCCUUCGGGGUCCUCGAGCGGCGAACGGGUGAGUAACACGUGAGUAACCUGCCCCAGACUUUGGGAUAACCCUCGGAAACGGGGGCUAAUACCGGAUACGACACAGCUUCGCAUGGGGUCUGUGUGGAAAGUUUUUCGGUUUGGGAUGGGCUCGCGGCCUAUCAGCUUGUUGGUGGGGUGAUGGCCUACCAAGGCGAGGACGGGUAGCCGGCCUGAGAGGGCGACCGGCCACACUGGGACUGAGACACGGCCCAGACUCCUACGGGAGGCAGCAGUGGGGAAUAUUGCACAAUGGGCGGAAGCCUGAUGCAGCGACGCCGCGUGAGGGAUGACGGCCUUCGGGUUGUAAACCUCUUUCAGCAGGGACGAAGCGUAAGUGACGGUGCCUGCAGAAGAAGCGCCGGCCAACUACGUG
rnacentral:rRNA from 1 species